rnacentral:rRNA from 1 species
UCCUCCGGGGCGCAGCAGUGGGGAAUAUUGGACAAUGGGGGGAACCCUGAUCCAGCGACGCCGCGUGAGUGAAGAAGUAUUUCGGUAUGUAAAGCUCUAUCAGCAGAGAAGAAAGAAAUGACGGUACCUGACUAAGAAGCCCCGGCUAACUACGUGCCAGCAGCCGCGGUAAUACUUCGUGGGCAAGCGUUAUCCGGAUUUACUGGGUGUAAAGGGAGCGUAGACGGCGAUGC